GCGGACGUGGCGAAAUUGGUAUACGCGUAUGGCUUAGGACCAUAUACUGUUAAAAGUGUGGGGGUUCGAGUCCCUUCGUCCGCA
rnacentral:tRNA from 1 species